UGCCUUUUUGCUCUUCCAUAUGUUCGUUCUGGUAUUUGAUGGUGGAAUGAUAGUGCGCAGUGCUUCAGUGUCCUGGCCGUAGCCAAGGCCAAACAUCCCGCUGAGAAGAUCAUUACGCUACAUCUAUUGUACACCCUCGGAGCAACAAGCUGUUGGAGCUUGAACAAUGCCAAGAGACCGAUGUGACCGUGCCUGAACUCCUUGUCUCCCCUCAAAAAAGAAAGAAAACAACAUUCGUAUAUCUCUCGUUCUAUCUCUUGUGGUGGCUCACAGAGUGUGGUAUGUUACGAUGAGACAAGAAAGAAAGAAAGAAAAAAAAAGGAGGGGGGGAGGGUGGUGGUGGUAGAAAAGAAUCAUUUGAUAUGACCAAAACGACCAGCAUUGGAUGUGAAGUUGGGCAAGUUGCAAGACAUUUUAGGCGCAAAUUGUAGUCGUAGAAAAUGCGCGUAUUUUAUUUUUUUUUUACGGUGAGGGACUGUUGUAAGCAAAGAGUUCGGUAUUAUUAUUAUAAAAAUUUUUUUUUUCUAUUUCUCGUGGGGGUUGGAGCGGCCCCUUGAGACAAAGCGAGACAGUUGAUCAAGGAGAAUCGUCCGACCUUGGCAAUCCUACCUUAUCUCAAAUCCUUUGGCUGUCAUUGACUUAUGAUACUCGACGAAUGUGAAUAUCUGUCAUUCACGUUGCCCACUUUCAGCUUGUCUCCCGCUACUAUUAUGUAUGAAUGUUUGGCUGCCUGUCUCGCCGAGCUGUAAACGACCGUAGGCAACACAGCAAAACAAGAAGAAGAAGAAGAAGAAGAAGAAGAAGGAAAAUAAAAUAACGUCAACAACAAAAAAAAUAUAGAAACGAUACGGGUGUUUAGAGAUGUGGCAUUUCAAGUAGCAGACGAGAAAGUUUUGGGAUACAGCGCAUAACAAAAAAAAAAAAAAAAAGAAUUUGAGGAUCUUUUUUUUGAGGUACUAUUUUCUAAGCAUCGAAUAUUUAUUCAGAAAAAAAAAAAAACACGAAAUAAAUAGGAAAAAAAAAAAGGAAGAACCGCCAUUGAAAAUGCGGAGAAGAAGGAACUCGAUUGUUUCCGCGUGACGAAGAGUCGCAUUUUCGCAUGACUCUAGCUGACUUUUUGGGUGAUUGCUCUGACAUUGACAAACGAGUUGGCCAUCGAGUAUGCAUUCAUAGAAGCCUUUUAGGAGUGCUGUUGAAGAUGGCCGUGUGUCUUGUUCGUUUGAAACGUGGCGCUCUCCCAUCGAGGACCUCCUCUUCUCCUCCUCUUUACCUUCGUUUCCCCUCCUUCAUGUAACUUCUUCUCUUUUUUAUUUUAUAUAUGUAUAUAUUUUUUACCUACCUCUUUUUCUUUCUUUCCUCUUGCUUCUUUUCAUUCCUCUUCUUACCUUUUCUUUGAUUCUUUUUAUAUAUAUAUAUUUAUUUUUUUUAUUUCCUACCUCCCCCCCCCCCACCUUUAUCAGCGGUUUUUUUGUGCCGGUAGUAGAGACUCGAAACGAUUUCAAUGAGAAAUUUUCAAAGGUUCAAAUUAUUCAUUCGUUCGUUCCCUUUUUGUUUUGUUUCUUUAUCUUGUGUGUGUGUGUGUGUGUGUGUUGUUGGUCGGCUUGUUGACGGACGGGUUCGCCAGAACUUUAGAAAGACAUUGGGACCCAUUGGUCUUUUUCACGUGGCGUAGAAAAACAGUAGCCCAUUCAAGUUAAAAAAAUAAAAUAAAAUAAAUAAAAUACUCGUAA